rnacentral:rRNA from 1 species
AUUGAACGCUGGCGGCAUGCUUUACACAUGCAAGUCGAACGGUAACAGGCCGCAAGGUUCUUCCUAGUGGCGGACGGUUGAGUAAUGCAUCGGAACGUGCCCAGUCGUGGGUUAUAACUACUCGUAAGAGUAGCUAAUACCCCAUACUAUCUCUUGCUGACAGCGGGGGACCGUAAGGCCUCUCCCGAUUUUACCCGCCGAUGUCAGAUUAGGUAGUUGGUGGGGUAAAGGCUCACCAAGCCAACGAUCUGUAGCUGGUCUGAGAGGACGACCAGCCACACUGGGACUGAGACACGGCCCAGACUCCUACGGGAGGCAGCAGUGGGGAAUUUUGGACAAUGGGCGCAAGCCUGAUCCAGCAAUGCCGCGUGCAGGAAGAAGGCCUUCGGGUUGUAAACUGCUUUUGUACGGAAAGAAACGGAUCUGGUUAAUACCCGGGGCUAAUGACGGUACCGUAAGAAUAAGCACCGGCUAACUACGUG